AGUACUCGCUUCUCAGCUCUCUGUUCUUAUCAGUUUAAUAUGUGAUAUGUCCUUAAUUUGAGGACUGUAUAUUAAAUUGAUUUUUGAAACGGGGAUGGAAUAGGAGCUUGCUCUGUCCACCCUAUGUAUUGACCUGGCAUCCGAGGAAGUGGGUAUUCACCCA
rnacentral:snRNA from 1 species